rnacentral:lncRNA from 1 species
ACUGUCUUUGAAUAUCAGUGACCUGCCAUGGGAGGAAGGCCAGAGAUGCUUGCUGCGCAGCAGUGGUUCAGAAGUGUUUUAAUGAACUAAGAAGAGAUUUUCCAGAUGGCUGUGUUUGAUGCUGCCAACUAUCCCAGAUGGAGAGGGUUUCCUCACCUGCACCCAAUCUGUGAAGAAAAGUUGUUUCCAUACAUCUGUUCAGGACUGUGUCAUCUGAAGGCUUGACUGGGGCUGAAGGAGCUGUUUCCAGCAUGGCUCACUCUCAUGGCUGUUGGCAAGAGGCCCCAGGUCCUACCAUGUGGACUUCUCCAUAGGACUGCUUGAGUGUUCUCAUGACAUGACAACCAGCUUCUUCCAGAGUAAGAGAUCCCAAAGAGAGCAAAGAGGAAGCCAGAGGACUGAUUUUCCAUCUGGCCUAACCAGAGUCUGAAGUUGCUGAAUCAAACAGAGCCAAUAGGUCGGACUUGAGCUGACUGGAGCAUGCACAGAGCUGGGAAGCACAAGUAUGUUCCUUUUGUAAAGGGCUAUCAACCAGAUGCCUCCUCCUCCCUCCUCCCAGCCUGCCUCAGAUCAUGGCCCUGAAAGAGAAGACAUCCUGUUUUUCCAACUCAAGAGACACCACUGCAGGGGGAGCAGUAGCAGGCUUGGGGACGUUUUCCACUCAAGAAGCUGGCUAUGGGAAGAGCUUACCCUGUAUUUCAUGCAAUACAAAGGAAGAUGGCUGUUUGGGGUUGCCGUGUCUCUUAGCAAUUAAGGAGAUGGCUACAGCCAAGCAGUGUGAAGUGACAGCACCAGAAAGUUUUCUACACCAGAGGCUGAGAACAGGGGCUGUGCAGUCAUAUUCAAUAUUGAGUCCCCAACCCUAACCCGGACCUGGCACAUACAAGACAUUCAGCAGAUGGCUAUUGAAUGAAAAUAUAUAAAUGAAUCAACGAUUACCAGCUGCCUCCACUCCCUUAACCUGCUACAGAAUUAAUAAACUAAUCUUGAGCAUAGUGGA